GGGCGAAAGCCUGACGGAGCAACGCCGCGUGAGUGAUGAAGGUCUUCGGAUCGUAAAACUCUGUUAUUAGGGAAGAACAUAUGUGUAAGUAACUGUGCACAUCUUGACGGUACCUAAUCAGAAAGCCACGGCUAACUACGUGCCAGCAGCCGCGGUAAUACGUAGGUGGCAAGCGUUAUCCGGAAUUAUUGGGCGUAAAGCGCGCGUAGGCGGUUUUUUAAGUCUGAUGUGAAAGCCCACGGCUCAACCGUGGAGGGUCAUUGGAAACUGGAAAACUUGAGUGCAGAAGAGGAAAGUGGAAUUCCAUGUGUAGCGGUGAAAUGCGCAGAGAUAUGGAGGAACACC
rnacentral:rRNA from 1 species